rnacentral:lncRNA from 1 species
AGCACCUGCGGCAUAUGGAAGUUUCCAGGCUAGGGGUCAAAUUGGAGCUGUAACUGUCGGCCUUUACCACAGCCACGGCAACGUGGGGUCUGGGCUGCAUCUACAACCUACACCACAGCUCACAUCAACGCUGGCCCCUUAACCCGCUGCGAGGCCAGGGAUAGAACCUGCAUCCUCACGGAUACUCGUGGGGCUCGUUUCUGCUAAGCCACAGUGGGAACGCCUCUUAUGCGUGACUUUUGGCCAAAGGGACCGGCUCUACCAAAAACAGGGACUGAAGCAUACCCAGGUGACUAUCUGGCUCACCUGAUUCUCUUCCCAGUGGGGCUUUGAAACAUGGGGACAAACUUUAGACACAGAGAAUGGAGCCAUUGCCUCUGUCGGGAUGGGAGAAAUUCACAGAUGUCUUGACAGCAGCUACCUCGCGACACUGAGUGGUAGCGGACCACUGGAAAAACUCUGGGUAAGAAAGACUAUCAAAGGAGCAUCAGGUCCAGAUUGCAAAUUGCUUUAGCAGCUAAAACAGGCAGAAAGAUAGAGCAACUCACGCUAAUCCAGGGGGUUUAUGCUUCGGGCUGGCUGCCUCUGACGCCCACCCUUGACCCAGCCCAUUCAUCAGUAUUUUGAUAAGCAGAUUCCCCUGCAGAGCUUCUUAAUCUGGGUUCCCAGAGGAGUCUUGCAGAGAUUAAUGAGAGCCCUGCCGCUGCCUGCCAGCUCUUGAGGGUGGGGCAGUUAAAUCACAAAAGGGAAGGGACUGGUCGCGGAUGCCCAAACUCUCCCAUCACUGGACCUGACGCCUCUAGGGGUCAACUCAGUAUCUUUUCAACUUAAAUACCUGGAUCUGUUUUUAUUUUUAUUUUUAAUCCACUUUCUCCUUGGUAUCUAGGGAAAUUAAAGCCCUGGCUCACAUCUUCCUUAAGGCCAGCUUUUAGCCAGAGCCAUGACAGCAUCUGGAGCUCAACAAAGAUUAGGGGCAGAGGCAGGCAGGAAUGCCAGGGACAGAGAGGAAAUCCAGUGCUACCAAGGGCACCACCAAUGUGCUGUACCCGCCAUGCAGCCCUCCCACCAAAUACCCUCUGGCUACAGUCCCCUGACAGUGGUGGGAGGGGAAGCUGGGGCUGCAACCCCAAAGCCUGAGCCCUCACAGAAGUGCAGCCCCUAAGACAAAAAAAAAAAAAAAAAGGGAGUUCCCAUCGUGGUGCAGUGGUUAACGAAUCCGACUAGGAACCGUGAGGUUGCGGGUUUGGUCAUUGCCCUUGCUCAGUGGGUUAACGAUCCGGCGUUGCCAUGAGCUGUGGUGUAGGUUGCAGACGCGGCUCAGAUCCCGCGCUGCUGUGGCUCUGGCGUAGGCCGGUGGCUACAGCUCCGAUUCCACCCCUAGCCCGGGAACUUCCAUAUGCCACGGGAGUGGCCCAAGAAAUAGCAAAAAAAGACAAAAAAAAAAAAAGAAGGCUGGUCUCUGCUCUUGCAAUGCCAGAUCCUCAACCCACAGUGCCAAGCCAGGGGUGGAACCCGCAUCUCAGCAUUCCCAAGAGGCUGCCGAUCCCACUGCACCACAGCGGGAACUCUGCAGGCUGGGUUCCCUGUGAGACGUGAUCUGGGGAAAUUUUCUGGGCUGUCCUCUGGAGAGAUGGGACUUAUUUUGAAGUAAGAUGUGAUGAGGGAACCCUAGAUUUGAGUUCAGUUUGUGAAUUAUUGGGGCGGGGGGGGGGUAAAAUCAGGCUUACCGAGCUUGUAGGACCUUGCAUGUGCUGGAAGAAAAAGUCUUACAAAUUCCAAGUGACAGGUAUGGCAAGAAGGAGGAGGACGAGCCGGGACAGCAGCUUCAACUCUGGCUGCUCCCGUGCUGACAUGUGUCCACUGAACGCAGCCUCAGGACUUGGGGGAAAAAGACCGUCACGCGGAGCUCCGAGCUCACGAGCAGGUCUAAAGGGACCGGCAAGUCAACUAACAAAGGCGUCGGGGGUGGGAACCCCCCUGGGUCUUCCCUCGCCCCUCCUGUGACCACGGCUGGCAUCUCAGGCCCGCUGUCCGUGAACAGACAGGGAAAUAGCUAACUACCCAGCUGAGUCCACGUUCAGCCCCAGAGGAAGGUCGACGGCUGACUGUCUAGGAGUCUGCGGUCUCACUGACACCAGCAGCUCUCAGAGUGUGGAGCACAGCUGCCCUCCGUCUAUGGCUGUGGACUGGGGGGGGGGACAAACAUGUGCUGGGAGGGGGGCCGUCCCAGCCCCUCCGGCCAGGCUCCUCAGAGGCUGGCGCAUCACCCAGCCCCCAGGUGGGGGCAUCAUGGAGGAGACCACGGCUGCCCCUGCAUCAGCUGUCCUGGUUCAGCAGACCUUCCUUCUUUAGCCAGACCUGGAAGCCAAAGAGGUCAGGCCAACCUGCAGCUCGGGGUCCAGCCCAGACGGGCGGCUACCUGGCCAGCCUCCUGGCCUCUGUAUGCGGCGCAGCCUGCUCUGGAUGGUAGGCUCCCUGCCCAGGAUUUGCAGUGAACUUGGCUGCUCCCUGCGGGAUUUACUGGGUCUGGACCUGCCCGCGGUAGAAGGUCAAGUGUCAGUUCAACGAGGGAGCCCCUGUCCCCCUUCGUCUU